AACGAACGCUGGCGGCAGGCUUAACACAUGCAAGUCGAACGCCCCGCAAGGGGAGUGGCAGACGGGUGAGUAACGCGUGGGAACAUACCCUUUUCUACGGAAUAGCUCUGGGAAACUGGAAUUAAUACCGUAUACGCCCUACGGGGGAAAGAUUUAUCGGGGAAGGAUUGGCCCGCGUUGGAUUAGCUAGUUGGUGGGGUAAAGGCCUACCAAGGCGACGAUCCAUAGCUGGUCUGAGAGGAUGAUCAGCCACAUUGGGACUGAGACACGGCCCGAUCUUCUACGGAAGGCGGCAGUGGGGAAUAUUGGACAGUGGGGGCAGGCCUGAUCCAGGCAUGCCGCGUGGGUGAUGAAGGCCUUAGGGUUGUAAAGCUCUUUCACCGAUGAAGAUAAGGACGGUAGUCGGAGAAGAAGCCCCGGCUAACUUCGUGCCAGCCGCCGCCGUAA
rnacentral:rRNA from 1 species